CUCUCCCUCUCUGUGGACUUUUCUUUUGUGUCUCUGCUUUGUUUCCUGGCCAGCAAAAGGACUCCAUCCUAAACCGAAAUUGGUUCGAAAAUUGCAUGGACGAUGGCAAACGGAAAGGAGGAACGUCAUAAAUUGCUAACCAAAAUUAAAGAGCCGAAAAAGCUGAAAGUUUCCUUUGGGGGAACUUUGGACACACACACACACACACACCCACAGGGGGAGAGAGAGUGAGGUAAUGCUACGUGUGGCUGCAACAGUUGCCGUGGCCUGGCAGCUACGUGGCGUCGCGUCUGGUGCCAACAAGGGAAAAAACGGAUUGAAGAAAAACAACUUUUACUCUGAAGGACAUUUCAUGGCGUCGUCUCAUUAUUUGCCACAGUUGCCACCACUCGGCAACGCCUUCAAAAAUAGCAAUACACAGACAACAGAACACAAAAAAAAAACGACAACCUCAAGCACCAAAUGGAUAGAAUCGUUGACCUCGUAUCAGCCCCUCUGCCGCAUGCCGCAUGCCUCACGUCGCGUGUGGUAUCAUCAUCAUCAGUGGCGGCGGCUCAUCAACCACACAUAUGUUGCAUGACAGCGGUGACAGUAGGCAGCAACAAAAACACUUAUUGGCGCCUUUGGACACCGCACAAAAAUUUCAUUAAAAACGGCUCAAGGUUUUUUGCCCGCCACUGCAGUUGAAGAAAAGUU